GGACAUAUUUCUCACCUUCAAAACAGGUUUCUUUAGAAAGCAGUAGAAAGCAAACCCUUUCAUAGAGCAUUAAAAAGCAAGCUCAAACAUGACACUACUGUCACACCUUUCAUGGUACUUUUUUUUUCAGGAGUCUGCCCCUGAUUUUAGUCCAAAGGAGCUGCUCUUUGAAAUGGCGUGUCCAGCUUUGGCGUUUGCCUGCUGAGGAAGAGAUAACUUUUUCAACCCACAAGACCGAAACAACUUCCCUUAAUUGAAAUGACUCCAGAACAGUUAUUCCCUAGAAGACAUCCUCCUUGAUUUCUUGCGGGGCCUGUAAGAUGACUGAAGUCGUAGGAUGUCUGAAGUAGAAAAGAGUGCCAGAGACACCACAGAACAUGGGGAAUGUUGUCCUGCUUCUGAGGUUCAGAUAUACAACUCAACCAUGGGCAGCUGAGGAUGGACUUUCUGCCUCGAUAGGUUUCUGUGGGAACGUUUCAGCUACCUGCAGCCUCAUCCGAUGACGUUUAAUGAUAUCAGCUAGCUUGAUCUUCCUCCAUGCACCAGCAGGGACUUCUUUAAAUUGCUCAACUGUAUGGAACACUGUUUUCAAGUUUAAUGUACUUGGAAUUGACCUUUUAAAGUAAUGGUAUUUCUAAACACAGUUUAAAUACAGUUUAAAUACAUAGCACACACAUAUGUUUGCAUUUAUAUGUGCAUGUGUGUGUACGCCUAUAUAUAUAUAUAUGUAAGUGCACACAUAUGUAUAGAAAUGCUGAUCCUAUUCACCUUUUUAAAAUCAUUACAGCUAGUAUUAACAUGAAUGUGCUGUUAAAUUGGCAGUGUUAUACAUUUUUGUUGGAGUUUACUUCUGUAACAUAAAACCAGAAAGAUAAGCUGUGAAACUCGUGCAGCUGAUGACAUAAUCCUAGAAUCUCAUGAUGCUGAAUCUCAUAUUGCUAGGAGUGUGGGAUGGAUGUUCUUUGCUGAAAUAAU
rnacentral:lncRNA from 1 species